AACUGAAGGGGUGAACUAGAGGAGAAGAGGAUUAGCUGGCUGGUGUUUGGUUGUUCUGGAGUGAUCUUCUGACUGGAAAAGAACUAUGUCAUGGAUCAAGGAAGGAGAACUGUCACUUUGGGAGCGGUUCUGUGCCAACAUCAUAAAGGCAGGCCCAAUGCCAAAACACAUUGCAUUCAUAAUGGAUGGGAACCGUCGCUAUGCCAAGAAGUGCCAGGUGGAGCGGCAGGAAGGCCACUCACAGGGCUUCAACAAGCUAGCUGAGCUCCUUGCCUUCUCCCCUCUCAGACUCUGCGGUGGUGUUUGAACCUGGGCAUCCUAGAGGUGACGGUCUACGCAUUCAGCAUUGAGAACUUCAAACGCUCCAAGAGUGAGGUAGACGGGCUUAUGGAUCUGGCCCGGCAGAAGUUCAGCCGCUUGAUGGAAGAACAGGAGAAACUGCAGAAGCAUGGGGUGUGUAUCCGGGUCCUGGGCGAUCUGCACUUGUUGCCCUUGGAUCUCCAGGAGCUGAUUGCACAAGCUGUACAGGCCACGAAGAACUACAACAA
rnacentral:sRNA from 1 species